UCCGUCACUGUAUUAGAAAUCUAAAUAAUCUGACACCAAAGCAUAGUGAGUUGCUUGCAAGUCACUAUGAUGAUCUCAGGUCUGAAGGACACUUAUACCCAUGUGCUUCGUGAGUAGCUCUUGAUAGUAGAACGCUCAGCAGGUGAAUCACCUAUUUAAUGAUGAUGUACUUCUACAUCUCACCUGUAUGUCAUACCAAUGUCACCAUACUCCUUAAUUAAGAGGACAACUAACCCA
rnacentral:lncRNA from 1 species